AAGUGUGUCUCUGAGAUUUCGGGC
rnacentral:miRNA from 1 species